rnacentral:tRNA from 1 species
GGGGAUGUGGCUCAAGUGGUAGUGCACUCAACUGGCAUUUGUGCGGCCCUGGGUUCGAUCCUCAGCACCACA